rnacentral:rRNA from 1 species
AUGAAGUUCGAUCUUGAAGGCCUGACGGUGCACUUCCCGUACGCGGCGAUCUACCCGGAGCAGCACGCGUACAUGGGCGAGCUCAAGCGAGCCCUGGACGCGCGCGGCCACGCGCUGCUGGAGAUGCCGACGGGCACCGGCAAGACGGCGGCUCUCAUCUCCCUCAUCACCUCCUACUCCCUCGCCAACCCCUCCCGCCCGCUCCGGCUCCUCUACUGCACCCGCACCGUCCACGAGAUGGAGAAGACCCUAGCCGAGCUCCGCCUCCUCUUCUCCCACCUCCCGCCCGCCGCCUCGCGCUCCCUCCUCGCGCUCGGUCUCUCCUCCCGCAAGAACCUCUGCGUCCACCCCCAGGCCUCCGCCUCCGCCGCCCGCGAUUCCGUCGACACAGCCUGCCGCCGCCUCACCGCGUCCUGGGUCCGCGACAAGGCCGCCUCCGACCCGGAGUCCACCCCUCUCUGCGAAUUCUUCGAGUCAUUCGACCGGGCCGCGGCCGCCGGCGACCUCGCCUCUUUCAUGCCCCCUGGGGUCUACACUCUUGCCGACCUCCGUUCGCUCGGCCGUGAGCGCCGGAUAUGCCCCUACUUCCUCGCCAGGCAGAUGGUAAAAUACGCCAAUGUGGUGGUCUACAGCUACCAGUACCUGCUUGACCCCAAGGUGGCCAGCAUUGUGUCCCGGGAGAUGCAGAAGGAAUGCGUGGUUGUGUUUGAUGAAGCGCACAACAUCGAUAAUGUCUGCAUUGAGGCGCUGAGCGUCAGCGUCCGCAAGCAGACACUGGAAGGUGCCGAGCGAAACCUGCGGCGCAUCUCGCAAGAGAUCGAUAGGUUCAAGGCCACCGAUGCCAAUAGGCUUCGUGCUGAAUACAAUAGACUGGUGGAUGGAUUGGCACAGAGGGGAAAUCUGCCAAUAUCCGAUGCCUGGCUUGCAAAUCCAUCCUUGCCUGAUGACAUUUUGAAGGAGGCUGUACCUGGAAAUAUCAGGAAGGCUGAACAUUUUCUUGCUGUCUUGAAGAGACUUGUGAAAUUCUUAGAUGGACGGCUUGAAACAGAGAAUGUUGAAAAUGAAAUGCCUGUUUCCUUUGUUGCUUCAAUCCAUUCCCAGGCUGGAAUUGACCAGAGAAUGCUGAGGUUUUGUUAUGACCGCUUACAUUCACUAUUGCUUACAUUGGAGAUAACCGACACGGAUGAAUUCAUGCACAUCCAGACCAUUUGUGACUUUGCCACAUUGAUUGGAACUUAUUCGCGGGGUUUUUCUAUAAUAAUAGAACCCUAUGAUGAUAGAAUGCCUGAAGUUCGUGAUCCCGUGAUUCAGCUUAGUUGCCAUGACGCUUCACUCGCAAUACAGCCUGUUUUCGAUCGUUUCCAAACUGUGGUCAUCACUUCGGGAACUCUCAGCCCAAUUGAUCUGUACCCUCGACUUUUGAAUUUUAAUCCUGUUAUAAGCAGGAGCUUCACAAUGUCCCUAACAAGGGAUUGUAUAUGUCCCAUGGUGUUGACACGAGGAAGUGAUCAGCUACCUGUGAGCACAAAGUUCGACAUGCGCAGUGAUCCUGGUGUUGUGAGGAAUUAUGGCCGCCUCUUGCUAGAAAUGGCUUCUUCUGUUCCUGAUGGCAUCGUCUGUUUCUUUGUCAGUUACAGCUAUAUGGAUGGCAUUGUCAACAGCUGGAAUGAAAUGGGUAUUUUACAGGACAUCAUGCAGCACAAGUUGGUAUUCAUUGAAACACCAGAUGUUGUUGAAACAACAUUGGCCCUUGACAAUUACAGAAAAGCAUGUGAUUGUGGAAGAGGUGCUGUCUUCUUCUCAGUUGCCAGGGGCAAAGUUGCUGAAGGUAUUGAUUUUGAUCGACACUAUGGCAGACUUGUGAUCAUGUUUGGUGUUCCCUUCCAGUACACACUUAGCAAGAUAUUGCGUGCUAGGUUGGAGUACCUAAGAGAAACUUUUCAGAUAAAGGAGGGUGACUUUCUGACAUUUGACGCAUUGAGGCAAGCUGCUCAAUGUGUUGGCCGUGUGAUUCGUUCUAAGGCAGAUUAUGGAAUGAUGAUAUUUGCUGACAAGAGAUACAGUCGGCAUGAUAAACGGUCCAAACUGCCAGGAUGGAUACUGUCACACUUGCACGAUGCGCACCUGAACCUGAGCACCGAUAUGGCUCUCCAUACAGCCCGUGAGUUCCUCCGGAGGAUGGCGCAGCCAUACGACAAGGCUGGGAGCGGAGGGAAGAAGACACUGUUGACGGAGGAGGACCUGCAGGACAUGGCUCGGGACGCCAUGGAGAUGUGA